UACAGAGGAGCCAAGCGUUGUCCGGAUUGACUGGGCGUAAAGCGCACGCAGGCGGACGCGCGCGUGGGGUGUGAAAUCUGGCCGCUUAACGGCCAGGCGCCAUCCCAUACGGCGCGUCUGGAGCAAUGCAGAGGUCGGUGGAAUUGCCGGUGUAGUGGUGAAAUGCGUAGAGAUCGGCAGGAACACCCAGGGGGAAACCAGCCGACUGGGCAUUUGCUGACGCUGAGGUGCGAGAGCGCGGGGAGCGAACCGG
rnacentral:rRNA from 1 species